rnacentral:rRNA from 1 species
GACGAACGCUGGCGGCGUGCUUAACACAUGCAAGUCGAGCGAACAGACGCGGAGCUUGUUGCUCUGACGUGAGCGGCGGACGGGUGAGUAACACGAGGAUAAUCUCCUUAUCAGUCUGGGAUAAUUUCGGGAAACCGGAGCUAAUACCGGAUAAUAUACUGAACCGCAUGGUUGAUUAGUGAGAGACGGUUUUGGUGUCAGUUAUAGAUGGAUCCGCGCCGGAUUAGCUAGUUGGUAAGGUAACGGCCUACCAAGGCAACGAUGCGUAGCCGACCUGAGAGGGUGAUAGGCCACACUAGAGCGGGGACGCGGACCAGACUCCUACGGGAGGCAGCAGUAGGGAAGCUUACGCAAUAGUCGGAAGACUGACGGAGCAGCGCCGCGUGAGUGGUGAAGGUCUUCGGAGCGUAAUACUCUGCUAUUGGGGAUGAACAAAUGUGGAAUUAAAUGUGCCCGUCUUGACGGUACCUGGUCAGAAAGCCACGGCUAACUACGUG